AGGGACUGCGCAUGUCUGGAAGGGGAGAGGCUGAGGGCCGCUGGGGACCGGCAGGCCGGCUCAGCCGAGGCGACCGGGCUUGGGCCGCCUGUCCCUGUGGACACUGAUUUAUCCAGGAAGGUGGCAGAGGUUGUGGCUGAGAGGGAGGUGGUGAGCAGACAGCGGUGACUCUGAUGAGCAGAAGAAAGAAAAGCAUUCAGAGAUGGUGGAACCAUAUGAUAGAAGGGUCAACAUUCCAGAGUCGCCACUUGGUGUAGAACCCAGGUGAGUUACCUGUCGCCCAAUCCAGGGUCAACGAAAUAGGACCUGAGUCCCUGGGUUCCCAGGGACCACAGCCAACAGCGUCCCCCUGGAAGAACUGCCUUCCUGGCUUGCCGUGGGUACAAAGCACAGCCUUCGUUUUCAUUGCUUUGUUCGUCUGAAACCUGGUGGACUAGUGACCCAGCCACGACUCCCAAGCUGGACGCAGGUUGGCUUUGACACGCGGCUGUUGGAGACUCCACCCCAGGGACUCUCCUUUUCCAGACUCUUUAUUAACUUACUCUGAGCUGACUUCCUCCUUCUCUUGCAGCAUAAAAAUGAAUUGGAAAAGCAAAUAUCACCUCUGAGAGUCACUGAUGCUACUUUAAUGAAACGCACAUUACCGUGGGGGUUUUUUAAACGUUCCGUCUCAAAACGGUAGAGACACGAGCAGCGUGGAAACCACAUCUCCUUCCACUCCUCUCACCUCCUUUUGGACGUGGCAGACUGAAUUUUGGCUGAGUCUGUGUCAAAAUUCAGACACUUGGCCACGGCUAAUCUCUCACUGCUACUGCAAAGGCAGUAAUAACAACCAGCUGAGUGAAGAACGAAGCCCAGACUUGGAAAACAAGCAGAGCCACCCCUUGGUGAGGUCUCGCUACUCGGCAAUACUUGUUACGGGAGCCCUGGUGGGAGGGGCGGUGUCUGGGGUCCGGGGUCCUGGCACAGCUGUGUCAGAGGCUGCUCAGCUCCCCGACUCAGACGUGCCAGAUCACCCUUCCACUAGUUUGCGAAGGUAUGUCUGAG